CUGCUGCCUUCCGUAGGAGUUUGGACCGUGUCUCAGUUCCAAUGUGGGGGACCUUCCUCUCAGAACCCCUACGCAUCGUCGGCUUGGUGGGCCGUUGCCCCACCAACUACCUAAUGCGCCGCAUGCCCAUCCGUGACCGGGGUCGCCCCCUUUGGCCGGCAGGGGAUGUCCCCUCCCGGCAUUAUGUUCGUAUUUAGGCGGGAUUUCUCCCGGUUAUCCAUCUGUCACGGCCAGGUUGCAUACCGUGUUACUCACCCGUGCGCCGGUCGCCGGCGG
rnacentral:rRNA from 1 species